UGUUUCUGGGCUCGUUACCCGCGGAUAAAAACAGAACAAUACGGAAGUAAAACGGUAGGAAGGUUUUUUUUUUGUCCUCGUCGACGAAGACAUACAUGCUCAAUACCCAACUUUCAGUCGACUGAAACAUGUCUAAACUACAGUCGUUUCGUGUGUUUUUAAAUGAGCGUUUAACCGCGGCAGCUGUGGAGAUUUUCGGGGCAGUUGAAGAAACGGUAGCAGAGUACCACGAGGAGAAUGAUCGACUACGGAGACUGCUGCGGAUCACACCGGAGAUAAAACUAUGUAGGAUAGACUCCCUGCAGCUCUCUCUCUCUGUCUCUGAAGAGGAGGUUACCCCUGAGCAGCAGCACUGUGAGCAGGAGUGGAGCCGCAGUCUGGGGCAGGAGAACCCAGAGCUUCCACAGAUUAAAGAGGAACAGGAGGAACUCAGGACAAGUCAGGAGGAAGAUCAGCUUCAAGGUCUGGAGGCUGAUUUCAAAUUCACUCCUUCCUGUGUGAAAAGUGAAUGUGAUCAGGAGGACCCACUUCAGCCCUUCACUUCUCCCCAAACCCAGACUGUGGAGAACAGAGAGAGUGACCCUAAACAAGUGGAUCUCACACAUUUUGUUACUGUGACCCACCUUAAGGAUCUCUACAUUAUCUGUGACCGUCCAGAUAAUCAAAACAAUGCCUCCAGCCACAGGUCAGCUGUAAGUAGUGACCCAGUAGGACUUGACAGCAGCCCACGAUUGGAUCCCAACCCAUCAAUGGCGGAGCAUUGUUCCAAACCCAGCUCGUCUAGAAAGACUCACCACUGCCGUGACUGUGGUGAAAAGUUUGCUCUGAAAGCUGAUGUGCGGAGGCAUAUGACUCUCUACAAGAAGAGACUUCGUGAAUGCAGCUUCUGCAGAAAACGCUGCACCUCCACCUGUAAACUUAAGGCCCAUAUCCGCCUCUGUCACAGUGGGAAACCCUGCACCUGCCCUGUUUGUGGCAAGACCUUCAAACUCAAAGGAUAUCUGUCCAAGCACAUGAGGAUUCACACAGGAGUGGGAGAGAAACCAUUUAGCUGUGGAGACUGUGGGAAAAGCUUCAAUUUGAAGGGCAACCUAAAGAACCAUAUGUUGACUCACACAGGAGAGAAAUCAUUUAGCUGUGGUGACUGUGGGAAAAGAUUCAUUCAUAAGUGGAACCUAAGGAGCCAUAUGCUGACUCACACAGGAGAGAAACCAUUUAGCUGUAGUGACUGUGGGAAAAGCUUCAAUCAGGAGGGGAACCUACGGAACCAUAAACGGACUCACACAGGAGGGAAACCAUUUAGCUGUGGUGACUGUGGGAAAAGCUUCAAUCAGAAGGGGUCCCUAAAGAAGCAUGAACUGACUCACACAGGAGAGAAACCAUUUAGCUGUGGUGACUGUGGGAAAAGCUUCUAUCAGAAGGGGAACCUAAGGAACCAUAAACUGACUCACACAGGAGAGAAACCAUUUAGCUGUGAUUGCGGGAAAAGCUUCACUCAAAAGUCUAACUUACUGACGCAUGUGAAAAAAAUACACAAAGGAGGAAAACAGGAUGAAAACUGAAAGAAAAGAAAAUUAGGACAAAGAUCUAUUUAGUCAGAAGAUGAAAAUAAAAAGUUAGGAUGUGGACAAUAUUCUGAGUACACGCUCAUAGACACAAAUAGCUGGAAUUUAGUUAAUGAGAGAUUAGUCAGAUUAACUGAUGACUAAAAUAGCAGUGCAGAUGGCACUAUUUUGUUAAGUGCAGAGAUGUAUUAUAUGUAAUGAAUAUGUAGGGGACUUCUGAAAUUCUACAGAUUUUGUAGCCCAGCAGAAAGUUCUGCAUAACCCAAAUCCAGAGGUUGUCAGUUCAAAUCCCAGGUGGGGUCAUAUUGAAAAGUCUACUAAGUGAUCAUGUCAAAUGUAAUCAUAUUGUCAUUGCUUACACCAUUUUUGCUAAACAGUGUAUCACUAAUCUUAAACAGAAUACAUGGUCCCAAAUUGUAUUGGUCACAUACACGGGUAGCAGAUGUUCUCGCGGGUGUAGCUAAAUGCUUGUGUUUCUAGCUCCAACAGUGCAGUAAUAUCAAACAAUUCACAACAAUACACACACAUCUAAAUACAAUGGAAUUAAGAAAUAUAUAAAUAUUAGGAUGAGCAAUGUUGGAGUUGCGUAGACUAAAUGCAGUAGAAUAGAAUACAGUAUGUUCAUAUGAGAUGAGUAAAGCAAAAAUAUGUAAACAUUAUUAAAGUAACUCGUGUUCCAUUAUGAAAAUGGCCAGUGAAUUCAAGUCUAUGUAUAUAGGGCAGCAGCCUCUAAGGUUCAGGAUCAGGUAACCGGGUGGAAGCCGCCCAAGAGAACAUUCUCAAAUAUGUGGGUGUAAAACACUGUUAAAAGCACUGUGUGUGUGUCAGUGGCUGUCCCUAGCAUUGCCAAAAGACAAAGAGCUGUGACUGGACCAGUGGUUCACCAAUCAGGGCUUUGAUGGGCUUGGCAACAGUAACAAGGGGUGAUGUGUAAUGAAACUAGGGUGCGCGUGCCCUGGGUAAACCAUUAUUUUGGGGAGAGAGAACGUGUCUUUACGAGCAUUGGGUAACGUCCUCGGAACAAACCGGGAACUAGACAACAACCUCCAGGAGAGCAUGACACAACGUCCCAUGAACCUUCAGGGACCAUGACACAACAUCCCAAGAAUGCCUCGAGACCAGCCAGGAACUAGACAAAUCCUCUAAGGAACCAUGACACAACGUCCUGACGACUUUAGGCGACCAUUUUGUGACGUCCUGGGAGGUCCUAACGACUCAUUGUUUACAUGGAAGUUAUGUUAUUCAUUAAAAAGAUUGUGAGCCAAAGAUGAAAACCUUUCCUACAAGUAAUAUUAUUUGACUGACUAUGGCUUUCCAAAUCACCCAACACUGCUAUUUGUAAGGUUAAUUUUAAAUGAAUGUUGUGAUUUUUUUUUAACCAUUCCUGAACCUGUGACCAGGAACAAGCUACAUGGGACAAUACCAGAAUAAAUGAUCUACGGAUUCUGUCUCUGCAGCCAAAUCUACAGAGUUGAGAUUGUUGUAUGCCCCAUAUAUAUAGCAUUCUGUUGGUGGCAAGUAUGUUGUAUAAUAAUUGGAAAAACUGGAAGUGUUGAGUCAAGUGUUGUUUUUUGUAUCAGUUCAUAAACCAUGUGCCAUGGAAUCGGUACAUCGAAAAUCUCUUCCUAUUUUUUUUGCAAUCUGUAUGGCGCAGCUGUCAACAUUUUUGACCUCAAAUGUAACUGGUAUAUUUUUCAAAUUAUGCCAAUUCUUUCCAGCCAAUUUGUAUCUUUAAUAUAUGGCAGACAAGCAAGUGCCCUACCUUCUCCCUCUUCCACUUGCCUCCUCCAUUUUUGUGGUAAUGCAUCAAUCAGUUAGUUGGUUGUAAGUUUGGAUUGAGCAGACAUUCCUCUAUACACUGCUCAAAAAAAUAAAGGGAACACUUAAACAACACAAUGUAAUUCCAAGUCAAUCACACUUCUGUGAAAUCAAACUG